UACGUAGGGCGCAAGCGUUGCUCGGAAUCACUGGGCGUAAAGCGCACGUAGGCGGCUUGUUAAGUCAGGGGUGAAAUCCUGGAGCUCAACUCCAGAACUGCCUUUGAUACUGGCGAUCUUGAGUCCGGGAGAGGUGAGUGGAACUGCGAGUGUAGAGGUGAAAUUCGUAGAUAUUCGCAAGAACACCAGUGGCGAAGGCGGCUCACUGGCCCGGUACUGACGCUGAGGUGCGAAAGCGUGGGGAGCAAACAGG
rnacentral:rRNA from 1 species